AGCCCAGAGCCGCUGCUGCUGUCAGGCCUGCGUUGGAAGCUGGGAGACGCAGAUCACAGAUCAGGAUGAGCGCCUCGUGGCCGGCGCGGAGCGCAGCGUGAAUACUGAGUGCUUACAGGCCCUCAGACCUUCUGGAGAGUAACCGGGACCAGAGGGCCGCUUCCUUCUCUUGUUGCAGCACAUUUACACUCAAACACUCCUCCCGUCUAUUACAGUUUGACUUGUUUUAAUCCUUUUGUGGUUAAUAAAUGAAUAUAUUUGUGUG